rnacentral:rRNA from 1 species
UACGUAGGUGGCAAGCGUUGUCCGGAUUUAUUGGGUUUAAAGGGUGCGUAGGCGGUCCUAUAAGUCAGUUGUGAAAUACGGCAGCUUAACUGUCGAGGUGCAAUUGAUACUGCAGGACUUGAGUACAGACGAGGUAGGCGGAAUUGACGGUGUAGCGGUGAUAUGCUUAGAUAUCGUCAAGAACACCGAUAGCGAAGGCAGCUUACUAGACUGUAACUGACGCUGAUGCACGAAAGUGUGGGGAUCAAACAGG